AUUGAACGCUGGCGGCAGGCCUAACACAUGCAAGUCGAGCGGAUGACGGGAGCUUGCUCCUUGAUUCAGCGGCGGACGGGUGAGUAAUGCCUAGGAAUCUGCCUGGUAGUGGGGGACAACGUUUCGAAAGGAACGCUAAUACCGCAUACGUCCUACGGGAGAAAGCAGGGGACCUUCGGGCCUUGCGCUAUCAGAUGAGCCUAGGUCGGAUUAGCUAGUUGGUGGGGAAAUGGCUCACCAAGGCGACGAUCCGUAACUGGGCUGAGAGGAUGAUCAGGCACACUGGAACUGAGACACGGUCCAGACUCCUACGGGAGGCAGCAGUGGGGAAUAUUGGACAAUGGGCGAAAGCCUGAUCCAGCCAUGCCGCGUGUGUGAAGAAGGUCUUCGGAUUGUAAAGCACUUUAAGUUGGGAGGAAGGGCAGUAAGUUAAUACCUUGCUGUUUUGACGUUACCGACAGAAUAAGCACCGGCUAACUCUGUGCCAGCAGCCGCCGUAA
rnacentral:rRNA from 1 species